UUUGUAUGCAUAAGCAAACUGGAAAAAGAGCACCAAAGACCCAGAUUUUGACAUCAUUUCCUGGUUGAACAAGAUGAAGCAGAGUAAUAAAUGGGUAGGCUUUACCUGAUUGGCUGAAUUGAGCUUCCUGGACCCGGGAGAGCUUGGUAUCUGAUCGGCGGGGGGCAUUUUCUCUAUAUAAGAAGAAGAUGGAGACUCGCUACCCACCCGAUAUAUUUUGUCGGACAGAUUUCUGUACAUUGCAGUGACAACUGUAUCCAGAUUUCAUCACAGGAAUGAAAAUUUUUCACUCUUUGGAAAAGCACCUGCAGCAGGGAGGGGACAUUCAUUAAGAUGGCCACAGAUUCCAAGACACUGAAGUGACAGGCCUCAAAUUUCAUACAUGUAUAUUGGUAAGUAUAAGGUCUUUGAAAAUUACAAAAUUGACUAAUUCUGGGAUAGGUAAAUAUGUAAGUAUAGGAAAAAGAGCACCAAAGACCCAGAUUUUGACAUCAUUUCCUGGUUGAACAAGAUGAAGCAGAGUAAUAAAUGGGUAGGCUUUACCUGAUUGGCUGAAUUGAGGUAUGUAAAUAUUUUCAUUUUAAAGUAAAAAUAUUAAUGUUUGAAAUAAAUGAUGGAAUGUGGGAAUAUUACAAAAAUUCUAGAAAUACCAGGGGAGAUUGUAGGAGUGGGGAUUGAUAUUUUUG